GCCAGAACUGAUAGCUCAGUUGAUCAAGCAGGGGACUCUUAAUCACAGGGUCGUGGGUUCGAUCCCACGUUGGGCA